AUUGAACGCUGGCGGCAUGCUUUACACAUGCAAGUCGAACGGUAACAGGCCGCAAGGUGCUGACGAGUGGCGAACGGGUGAGUAAUGCAUCGGAACGUGCCCAGUCGUGGGGGAUAACGCAGCGAAAGCUGUGCUAAUACCGCAUACGAUCUAUGGAUGAAAGCGGGGGACCGUAAGGCCUCGCGCGAUUGGAGCGGCCGAUGUCAGAUUAGGUAGUUGGUGGGGUAAAGGCUCACCAAGCCAACGAUCUGUAGCUGGUCUGAGAGGACGACCAGCCACACUGGGACUGAGACACGGCCCAGACUCCUACGGGAGGCAGCAGUGGGGAAUUUUGGACAAUGGGCGCAAGCCUGAUCCAGCAAUGCCGCGUGCAGGAAGAAGGCCUUCGGGUUGUAAACUGCUUUUGUACGGAACGAAAAGGUUUGGGUUAAUACCCUGGGCCGAUGACGGUACCGUAAGAAUAAGCACCGGCUAACUACGUGCCAGCAGCCGCCGUAA
rnacentral:rRNA from 1 species